rnacentral:rRNA from 1 species
UCUUUCUUCUGCUUACCAUGCAGUCGAACGCUGAAGCUUGGUGCUUGCACUGGGUGGAUGAGUGGCGAACGGGUGAGUAAUACGUGAGUAACCUGCCCUUGACUCUGGGAUAAGCCUGGGAAACUGGGUCUAAUACUGGAUACGACGGCGCAUCGCAUGGUGUGUUGUGGAAAGGGUUUUACUGGUUUUGGAUGGGCUCACGGCCUAUCAGCUUGUUGGUGGGGUAAUGGCUCACCAAGGCGACGACGGGUAGCCGGCCUGAGAGGGUGACCGGCCACACUGGGACUGAGACACGGCCCAGACUCCUACGGGAGGCAGCAGUGGGGAAUAUUGCACAAUGGGCGGAAGCCUGAUGCAGCGACGCCGCGUGAGGGAUGACGGCCUUCGGGUUGUAAACCUCUUUCAGCACGGAAGAAGCGAGAGUGACGGUACGUGCAGAAGAAGCGCCGGCUAACUACGUGCCAGCAGCCGCGGUAAUACGUAGGGCGCAAGCGUUGUCCGGAAUUAUUGGGCGUAAAGAGCUCGUAGGCGGUUUGUCGCGUCUGCUGUGAAAGCCCGGGGCUUAACCCCGGGUGUGCAGUGGGUACGGGCAGACUUGAGUGCAGUAGGGGAGACUGGAAUUCCUGGUGUAGCGGUGAAAUGCGCAGAUAUCAGGAGGAACACCGAUGGCGAAGGCAGGUCUCUGGGCUGUUACUGACGCUGAGGAGCGAAAGCAUGGGGAGCGAACAGGAUUAGAUACCCUGGUAGUCCAUGCCGUAAACGUUGGGCACUAGGUGUGGGGAACAUUCCACGUUUUCCGC